AACGCGAAGAACCUUACCUACUCUUGACAUCCAGAGAACUUUCCAGAGAUGGAUUGGUGCCUUCGGGAACUCUGAGACAGGUGCUGCAUGGCUGUCGUCAGCUCGUGUUGUGAAAUGUUGGGUUAAGUCCCGCAACGAGCGCAACCCUUAUCCUUUGUUGCCAGCGGUUCGGCCGGGAACUCAAAGGAGACUGCCAGUGAUAAACUGGAGGAAGGUGGGGAUGACGUCAAGUCAUCAUGGCCCUUACGAGUAGGGCUACACACGUGCUACAAUGGCGCAUACAAAGAGAAGCGACCUCGCGAGAGCAAGCGGACCUCAUAAAGUGCGUCGUAGUCCGGAUUGGAGUCUGCAACUCGACUCCAUGAAGUCGGAAUCGCUAGUAAUCGUAGAUCAGAAUGCUACGGUGAAUACGUUCCCGGGCCUUGUACACACCGCCCGUCACACCAUGGGAGUGGGUUGCAAAAGAAGUAGGUAGC
rnacentral:rRNA from 1 species